UGCGAAGUAUCCAACUUCACGUGUUUGUAACUGCUCCACAACAGUCCAGCCGCGGCCGUCGAAGCACACUUAAUGCUGGCAGCAUACAGUCUAUGCAAAGUACGCGUGAACCACACUUCCUCUGCUUUAUCCUGCUGUUGGUUUACCGCGAAACAACGAUGAAACAACAUCAUAAGGGCUGCUGAAGUUACAAUAAACACCACUUGGAGGCGUUCAAGCUCAAAACAGUCGAGGGGAUCACUUUUCACGUUUCACUUUCAUUCAAUGAAGAAGAUGAUGCACCGAGGCAAGAUGAAGGUGUUUUUCAUUGGUGUCUGAGCGAAAAGAGCAGCAGCAACUACAAUAACAUCAGUAGAAGUGGCAAGUAGGAUUUGAAGG